rnacentral:ncRNA from 2 species
UUUCCUUGCUAGGGGUGCCUGAGUGAAACCGGGCUGAGAUUACACCCUUAACACCUGAGUCUGGGUAAUACCAGCGGAGGGAAGCUCUUUCAUGAAGGA